rnacentral:rRNA from 1 species
ACAGCAGUCGCCGCGGUAAUACAGAAGAUGCAAGCGUUAUCCGGAAUGAUUGGGCGUAAAGCGUCUGUAGGUGGCUAUUCAAGUCCACCGCCAAAUCCCAGGGCUCAACCCUGGACAGGCGGUGGAAACUACCAAGCUAGAGUACGGUAGGGGCAGAGGGAAUUUCCGGUGGAGCAGUGAAAUGCGUUGAGAUUGGAAAGAACACCAACGACGAAAGCAUUCUGUUGGGCUGAAACUGACACUGAGAGACGAAAGCUAGGGGAGCAAACGGGAUUAGAUACCCGCGUAGUCCCUGUCUCUUUACA